rnacentral:rRNA from 1 species
GAUGAACGCUGGCGGCGUGCUUAACACAUGCAAGUCGAACGAAGCACUUUAUUUGAUUUCCUUCGGGACUGAUUAUUUUGUGACUGAGUGGCGGACGGGUGAGUAACGCGUGGGUAACCUGCCUUGUACAGGGGGAUAACAGUUGGAAACGGCUGCUAAUACCGCAUAAGCGCACGGCAUCGCAUGAUGCAGUGUGAGAAACUCCGGUGGUAUAAGAUGGACCCGCGUUGGAUUAGCUAGUUGGUGAGGUAACGGCCCACCAAGGCGACGAUCCAUAGCCGACCUGAGAGGGUGACCGGCCACAUUGGGACUGAGACACGGCCCAAACUCCUACGGGAGGCAGCAGUGGGAAUAUUGCACAAUGGGGGAAACCCUGAUGCAGCGACGCCGCGUGAGCGAAGAAGUAUUUCGGUAUGUAAAGCUCUAUCAGCAGGGAAGAUAAUGACGGUACCUGACUAAGAAGCCCCGGCUAACUACGUGCCAGCAGCCGCGGUAAUACGUAGGGGGCAAGCGUUAUCCGGAUUUACUGGGUGUAAAGGGAGCGUAGACGGCAAGGCAAGUCUGAUGUGAAAACCCAGGGCUUAACCCUGGGACUGCAUUGGAAACUGUCUGGCUCGAGUGCCGGAGAGGUAAGCGGAAUUCCUAGUGUAGCGGUGAAAUGCGUAGAUAUUAGGAAGAACACCAGUGGCGAAGGCGGCUUACUGGACGGUAACUGACGUUGAGGCUCGAAAGCGUGGGGAGCAAACAGGAUUAGAUACCCUGGUAGUCCACGCCGUAAACG